ACAUGAUGAAACCAAAACAAAUAGCUGGAAUUACCGGCAGAAAUAUUUUGUUGAUAACAGUUUUCUGACA